UCGGACCACCAUACCGGGGGGGAAACACCCGGUCCCAUUCCGAACCCGGAAGUUAAGCCCCCCAGGGCCGAUGAUAGCCUCGCCCCGAGCGAGGUGAAAGUAGGUCGUGGUCCGGG
rnacentral:rRNA from 2 species